CGCUGGAGAGGCAUGGACCUUGACGAAGUCAGGAAAAAGCCCGAAGCAGAGUCGAUCACGACAGGAGGAAGUCUGGAAGUGGUUCGGAUGAUAGUUAAUCGCUGUGAAAGGUCGCUAAUAGUGGAGCCCAGAGAGCAUUUGGAGCAGUCCGAUAGAUGACUGAAGGAGCUUAUCAUUGGAGAAGUCCGGAGGGUAUGGUAGGAGCUUGUCGUCGGAGGAGUUCGGUUGGCACUUGUAGAAGGCAUUGUGGAAGUUCGUCCGUCGAAGGAACUUGGGAACACUGUGGAAGCUCGGCUGCUGGAGAAGUCCGGAAAGAUGCCGCACGAAGUCGAA
rnacentral:lncRNA from 1 species